rnacentral:snRNA from 1 species
AUUGCUUCUCAACCUUUUGGCUAAGAUCAAGUGUAGUGUCUGUUCUUAUCAGCUUAAUAUCUUAUAUUUCCACUAUCUAUAAUAUAUUAAAUGUAUUUUGGGACAGGGAGAUGGAAUAAGAGCUGCUUCAUCCACUCCAUGCUUUGACCAGGUUUUAUAGUAUUUCCAGGAACAGUGCACCAGAA